GGUGGCUUAGUGGUAGAGUACUUGCCUUGCAUGCAUGAGGCCCUGGGUUCUAUUCCUCAGCACCA
rnacentral:tRNA from 1 species